AGGGAAUAUUGCAAAAUGGGCGAAAGCCCGAUGCAGCAACGCCGCGUGGGCGAUGAAGGCCUUCGGGUCGUAAAGCCCUUUUUGAGGGGAUGAGGAAGGACAGUACCCUCAGAAUAAGCCUCGGCUAACUACGUGCCAGCAGCCGCGGUAAAACGUAGGAGGCGAGCGUUAUCCGGAUUUACUGGGCGUAAAGCGCGUGCAGGCGGAUUGGAGAGUUGGAUGUGAAAGCACCCGGCUUAACUGGGAGAGGUCGUUCAAUACUUCCAGUCUUGAGUGCAGUAGAGGGAAGUGGAAUUCCGGGUGUAGUGGUGAAAUGCGUAGAUAUCCGGAGGAACACCAGUGGCGAAAGCGGCUUCCUGGACUGUAACUGACGCUCAGACGCGAAAGCUAGGGUAGCAAACG
rnacentral:rRNA from 1 species